rnacentral:rRNA from 1 species
UGAGGAAUAUUGCGCAAUGGAGGAAACUCUGACGCAGCCAUGCCGCGUGCAGGAAGACGGUCUUAUGGAUUGUAAACUGCUUUUAUAUGCCAAGAAACCUUAGUACGUGUACUAAGCUGACGGUAGCAUAUGAAUAAGGAUCGGCUAACUCCGUGCCAGCAGCCGCGGUAAUACGGAGGAUCCAAGCGUUAUCCGGAUUUAUUGGGUUUAAAGGGUCCGCAGGCGGAAAAUUAAGUCAGUGGUGAAAUCCUACAGCUUAACUGUAGAACUGCCAUUGAUACUGGUUUUCUUGAGUACAAAUGAGGUGAGUGGAAUGUGGCGUGUAGCGGUGAAAUGCAUAGAUAUGCCACAGAACACCAAUUGCGAAGGCAGCUCACUAACAUGUAACUGACGCUGAGGGACGAAAGCGUGGGGAGCGAACGGG